rnacentral:rRNA from 1 species
CACGUAGGGCGCGAGCGUUGUCCGGAAUUAUUGGGCGUAAAGAGCUCGUAGGCGGCCUGUUGCGUCCGCUGUGAAAGCCCGGGGCUUAACCCCGGGUCUGCAGUGGAUACGGGCAGGCUGGAGGCAGGCAGGGGAGAACGGAAUUCCCGGUGUAGCGGUGAAAUGCGCAGAUAUCGGGAGGAACACCGGUGGCGAAGGCGGUUCUCUGGGCCUGUACUGACGCUGAGGAGCGAAAGCGUGGGGAGCGAACAGG